rnacentral:tRNA from 2 species
GCGGGUGUGGCGGAAUGGUAGACGCCGGGGACUUAAAAUCCCCUGAUCAUUGAUCGUGCUGGUUCGAGUCCAGUCACCCGUACCA